rnacentral:rRNA from 1 species
AUUGAACGCUGGCGGCAGGCCUAACACAUGCAAGUCGAACGAGUGGCGGACGGGUGAGUAAUGUCUGGGAAACUGCCCGAUGGAGGGGGAUAACUACUGGAAACGGUAGCUAAUACCGCAUACCAUCGGAUGUGCCCAUAUGGGAUUAGCUAGUAGGUGGGGUAACGGCUCACCUAGGCGACGAUCCCUAGCUGGUCUGAGAGGAUGACCAUCCACAAUGGAACUGAGAGACGGUCCAGACUCCUACGUGAGGCAGCAGUGGGGAAGAUUGCACAAUGGGGGAAAGCCUGAUGCAGCCAUGCCGCGUGUAUGAAGAAGGCCUUCGGGUUGUAAAGUACUUUCAGCGAGGAGGCGUUACUCGCAGAAGAAGCACCGGCUAACUCCGUGCCAGAAGCCGCGGUAAUUC